rnacentral:rRNA from 1 species
AACGAACGCUGGCGGCGCGUCUUACGCAUGCAAGUCGAACGGCAAGAGAGGAGCUUGCUUCUCUCCUAGAGUGGCGGACUGGUGAGGAACACGUGGGUAAUCUACCCUUAAGAUGGGGAUAGCUGCUAGAAAUAGCAGGUAAUACCGAAUACACUCGGCAUAUCACAAGAGGUGUUGAGGAAAGGAAGCUACGGCUUCGCUUGAGGAUGAGCUUGCGUCCCAUUAGCUAGUUGGUGAGGUAAAGGCCCACCAAGGCGACGAUGGGUAUCCGGCCUGAGAGGGUGAACGGGCACAUUGGGACUGAGAUACGGCCCAAACUCCUACGGGAGGCAGCAGCUAAGAAUAUUCCGCAAUGGACGGAAGUCUGACGGAGCGACGCCGCGUGGAUGAAGAAGGCUGAAGAGUUGUAAAAUCCUUUUGUUGAUGAAGAAUAAGGGUGAGAGGGAAUGCUCAUCUGAUGACGGUAAUCGACGAAUAAGCCCCGGCUAAUUACGUG